rnacentral:rRNA from 1 species
UACGGGGGGGGCAAGCGUUGUUCGGAAUUACUGGGCGUAAAGGGCUUGUAGGUGGCCAACUAAGUCAGACGUGAAAUCCCUCGGCUUAACCGGGGAACUGCGUCUGAUACUGGAUGGCUUGAGUGUGGGAGGGGGAUGUAGAAUUCCAGGUGUAGCGGUGAAAUGCGUAGAUAUCUGGAGGAAUACCGGUGGCGAAGGCGGCAUCCUGGACCAUUACUGACGCUGAGGCGCGAAAGCUAGGGGAGCAAACGGG